UACGAAGGGAGCUAGCGUUGUUCGGAAUCACUGGGCGUAAAGCGCACGUAGGCGGAUUUGCCAGUCAGGGGUGAAAUCCCGGGGCUCAACCUCGGAACUGCCUUUGAUACAGCAAGUCUUGAGUUCGAGAGAGGUGGGUGGAAUUCCUAGUGUAGAGGUGAAAUUCGUAGAUAUUAGGAAGAACACCGGUGGCGAAGGCGGCCCACUGGCUCGACACUGACGCUGAGGCACGAAGGUCAGGGGAGCAAACGGG
rnacentral:rRNA from 1 species